AUCUCUUUUCUUGCCGAGAUUGACGUACAACAUCCAGCACAGCAGCCAAUCAACACCGCGAUCUAUGUGCAGGCGAGUAUCCCGCCCACAGAGCUCAGUGUUGAGUUGAGCCAGAUCGCUACAGACUCUAACUUUUUGCUGUUGCUUUAAGGACAAUUCUUUCAUAUUAUGUGUGUUUGUGCGUAAAUGCAAAAAAGACCACAUAUAUACACGUGUAUGGAUGCUCAUCCAAAGCUUGAGUUGUGUGGUGACAAUUAAACGGGUUACUCCCAAAUAAGA